GACGAACGCUGGCGGCGUGCUUAACACAUGCAAGUCGAACGGACAGGCCCUGCUUUUGUGGGGUGCUCGAGUGGCGAACGCGUGUGUAACACGUGUGUAACCUGCCCCUAACUUUCGGAUAACUUCAGGAAACUGGGGCUCAUACCGGAUAUGAGCUCUUGCUGCAUGGUGGGCGUUGGAAAGUUUCGGCGGUUGGGGCUGGACUCGCGGGUUAUCAGCUUGUUGGUGGGGUAGUGGCUUACCAAGCGUUCGACGGGUAGCCGGCAUGGGAGGGGGACCGGGCACAUGGGGACUGAGAGACGGACCAGACGCCAACGGGAGGCAGCAGUGGGGAGUAUGACACAAUGGGGGGAAGUCUGUUGCAGAAACGCCGCGUGCGGAAUGACGGGCUUCGGGUUGUAAACCGCUUUGGCCGGUGACGAAGCGUGAGUGACGGUAAUGGGUAAAGAAGCACCGGCUAACUACGUG
rnacentral:rRNA from 1 species